rnacentral:snoRNA from 1 species
ACCCCCUGGCAAUGGGCAAGGAAACACCUGAUUGGUGGUGUUGCUCUUAUAUCAGUCAGGGGCAAAGCAGAUGUACAGUCCUUAGUUCAUCCUAGCUUGAUGCCUGUGUCGGUGGCCAGAGCUGUUUCAUGCCUGUUGCACAUAA